GACGAACGCUGGCGGCGUGCCUAAUACAUGCAAGUCGAGCGCUGAAGGUUGGUACUUGUACCAACUGGCUGAGCAGCGAACGGCUCAGUAACGCGCGGCCCACCUGCCUUUGAGAGCGGGACAACAUUUGGAAAAGAAUGCUAAUACCGCCUAAACCCUUUAAACACAUGUUUUAAGUUUGUAAGAUCCAAUUGCAUCACCCCAACCUGAUCCCGCGUUGUAUUAGCUAGUUGGUGAGGUAAAGGCUCACCAAGGCGAUGAUACAUAGCCGACCUGCGAGGGUGAUCGGCCGGAUUGAGAGUGUGACACGGCCCAAAGGCAUACGGGAGGGAGCAGGAGGGAAUCUUCGGCAAGGGGCGAAAGUCUGACCGAGCAACGCGGCGUGAGGGAAGAAGGAUGUCGGGUCGGAAAACUCUGUUGGUAGAGAAGAACGUUGGUGAGGGUGGAAAGCUCAGCAAGUGACGGUAACUACACAGAAAGCGACGGCUAACUACGUG
rnacentral:rRNA from 1 species